UCGAGAAUCUUUCACAAUGGGGGCAACCCUGAUGGAGCGACGCCGCGUGGAGGAUUAAGGUCUUCGGAUUGUAAACUCCUGUCAUGCGAGAGCAAAGCCCGCGAGGGUCUGAUAGUAUCGCAAGAGGAAGAGACGGCUAACUCUGUGCCAGCAGCCGCGGUAAUACAGAGGUCUCAAGCGUUGUUCGGAAUCACUGGGCGUAAAGGGUGCGUAGGUGGCGUGGAAAGUCAGAUGUGAAAUCCGGGGGCUCAACCCCCGAAUUGCAUCCGAUACUACCGUGCUAGAGAACUGAAGGGGGAUCUGGAAUUCUCGGUGUAGCAGUGAAAUGCGUAGAUAUCGAGAGGAACACUAGUGGCGAAGGCGAGAUCCUGGGCAGUAUCUGACACUGAGGCACGAAGGCCAGGGGAGCGAACGGG
rnacentral:rRNA from 1 species